rnacentral:rRNA from 1 species
AUUGAACGCUGGCGGCAGGCCUAACACAUGCAAGUCGAGCGGAUGAAGGGAGCUUGCUCCUGGAUUCAGCGGCGGACGGGUGAGUAAUGCCUAGGAAUCUGCCUGGUAGUGGGGGAUAACGUCCGGAAACGGGCGCUAAUACCGCAUACGUCCUGAGGGAGAAAGUGGGGGAUCUUCGGACCUUACGCUAUCAUAUGAGCCUAGGUCGGAUUAGCUAGUUGGUGGGGUAAAGGCCUACCAAGGCGACGAUCCGUAACUGGUCUGAGAGGAUGAUCAGUCACACUGGAACUGAGACACGGUCCAGACUCCUACGGGAGGCAGCAGUGGGGAAUAUUGGACAAUGGGCGAAAGCCUGAUCCAGCCAUGCCGCGUGUGUGAAGAAGGUCUUCGGAUUGUAAAGCACUUUAAGUUGGGAGGAAGGGCAGUAAGUUUAUACCUUGCUGUUUUGACGUUACCAACAGAAUAAGCACCGGCUAACUUCGUG